GCUCCCGCCCUGCUCGGCGGAGCAGCCGCGGCCGGUGCCUUUCCCCUCCUCUGGCCAAGCGCAUCACCGGGAGUGCUCGGGGAAGAUUUGUACUUUUUUUUUUCCCAGAGAAGGGUUUUUCUCGCUGUGUCUUUUGCCUAAGCCAGGCCCACAAGUGGAUCAGACCAGUCCUGCACUGUUGCAUUUAGUGUAUAGCAAAACUGCCCUUGAGGAAGAUUCUGCAGGCUUAAGGACUGAGGAGUUAGGACUGGGAGCUAAGGAAAGGACAGGAAUGACUUCCUUCAUAGCCGGUUUUAAAAAGCCAGCUGCUCUCUGCAGUCAAGCCAAAAUUAAGGGGAGAUGGUCUGAGGUUUAGAAAUGUGCAGGAUAAAUUUUCAUGCCAAAUAAGAAAAAUGAGAAAUUAUCUUAGCAUAUCGCAACUUGUCAUAAAAAUACAUGUCUCUUUCCUCCUUUAAAAGAGGACUUUAUAAAUUCUACUGUCUUUGAUUUGUUGUCUAUUUUAUACUGAUUUUUUAAUUCAGAUGUUCUUAAGAAAGCAUAAUGAAACACUUGAUGUGUCUAUUGUCUUGAUUAGUGCUUCAUUGUGUAAGAAUUUGGUUAUUGAAAAUACACUAAAUAUUGUGCUGUAAAUUGUGUUGUGACUUAUGCAAUACCUUUUAGUAUUAAUAGAAAAAAUUCAGGAUGGCAAAAAUGGUAUUUAAUUUUUUAUUUUAUUUUGUUUAAUAAAAAACUCACUUGACUGCA
rnacentral:lncRNA from 1 species